GUGAGGAAUAUUGCGCAAUGGAGGCAACUCUGACGCAGCCAUGCCGCGUGCAGGAAGAAGGCGCUACGCGUUGUAAACUGCUUUUAACCGGGAAGAAACCCCAGGACGUGUCCUGGGUUGACGGUACCGGAGGAAUAAGCACCGGCUAACUUCGUGCCAGCAGCCGCGGUAAUACGAAGGGUGCAAGCGUUAUCCGGAUUCAUUGGGUUUAAAGGGUGCGUAGGCGGAGCGUUAAGUCAGUGGUGAAAUCCUGCAGCUUAACUGUAGACUUGCCAUUGAUACUGGCGCUCUUGAGUGCGCUUGAAGUGGGCGGAAUGUGCCGUGUAGCGGUGAAAUGCUUAGAUAUGGCACAGAACACCAAUUGCGAAGGCAGCUCACUAAGGCGAUACUGACGCUGAGGCACGAAAGCGUGGGGAUCGAACAGGAUUAGAUACCUAGUAGUCC
rnacentral:rRNA from 1 species